GACGGAAGGUGCAAGCGUUGCUCGGAAUCACUGGGCGUAAAGGGUGCGUAGGCGGCCGUGCAAGUCUGGCGUGAAAGCCCCGGGCUCAGCCCGGGAAGUGCGCUCGAAACUGCGCGGCUCGAGUGCCGGAGGGGAGAGUGGAAUUCCUGGUGUAGCGGUGAAAUGCGCAGAUAUCAGGAGGAACACCUGUGGCGAAAGCGGCUCACUGGACCAUAACUGACGCUGAUGCACGAAAGCUAGGGGAGCAAACAGG
rnacentral:rRNA from 1 species